UACGGAGGAUGCGAGCGUUAUCCGGAUUUAUUGGGUUUAAAGGGUGCGCAGGCGGUCUGUUAAGUCAGCGGUCAAAGCCCGGGGCUCAACCCCGGCCCGCCGUUGAAACUGGCAGUCUCGAGUUGGAGAGAAGUAUGCGGAAUGCGCGGUGUAGCGGUGAAAUGCAUAGAUGUCGCGCAGAACUCCGAUUGCGAAGGCAGCAUGCCGGCUCCACACUGACGCUGAGGCACGAAAGCGUGGGUAUCGAACAGG
rnacentral:rRNA from 1 species